CCUACGGGAGGCAGCAGUGGGGAAUUUUGGACAAUGGGCGCAAGCCUGAUCCAGCAAUGCCGCGUGAGUGAAGAAGGCCUUCGGGUUGUAAAGCUCUUUUGUCAGGGAAGAAACGGUCUACUCUAAUACAGUGGGCUAAUGACGGUACCUGAAGAAUAAGCACCGGCUAACUACGUGCCAGCAGCCGCGGUAAUACGUAGGGUGCAAGCGUUAAUCGGAAUUACUGGGCGUAAAGCGUGCGCAGGCGGUUAUAUAAGUCAGAUGUGAAAUCCCCGGGCUCAACCUGGGAACUGCAUUUGAGACUGUAUGGCUAGAGUGUGUCAGAGGGGGGUAGAAUUCCACGUGUAGCAGUGAAAUGCGUAGAUAUGUGGAGGAAUACCGAUGGCGAAGGCAGCCCCCUGGGAUAACACUGACGCUCAUGCACGAAAGCGUGGGGAGCAAACAGGAUUAGAUACCCUGGUAGUCCACGCCCUAAACGAUGUCUACUAGUUGUCGGGACUUAAUUGUCUUGGUAACGCAGCUAACGCGUGAAGUAGACCGCCUGGGGAGUACGGUCGCAAGNUUAAAACCUCAAAUGAAUUGACGG
rnacentral:rRNA from 1 species